UUCGGGGUACUCGAGCGGCGAACGGGUGAGUAACACGUGGGUGAUCUGCCUCGCACUUCGGGAUAAGCCUGGGAAACUGGGUCUAAUACCGGAUAUGACCACGGAUCGCAUGGUUUGUGGUGGAAAGAUUUAUCGGUGCGAGAUGGGCCCGCGGCCUAUCAGCUUGUUGGUGGGGUAAUGGCCUACCAAGGCGACGACGGGUAGCCGACCUGAGAGGGUGACCGGCCACACUGGGACUGAGACACGGCCCAGACUCCUACGGGAGGCAGCAGUGGGGAAUAUUGCACAAUGGGCGGAAGCCUGAUGCAGCGACGCCGCGUGAGGGAUGACGGCCUUCGGGUUGUAAACCUCUUUCGACAGGGACGAAGCGCAAGUGACGGUACCUGUAGAAGAAGCACCGGCCAACUACGUGCCAGCAGCCGCGGUAAUACGUAGGGUGCGAGCGUUGUCCGGAAUUACUGGGCGUAAAGAGCUUGUAGGCGGUUUGUCGCGUCUUCUGUGAAAACUUGGGGCUCAACCUUAAGCUUGCAGGGGAUACGGGCAGACUAGAGUACUUCAGGGGAGACUGGAAUUCCUGGUGUAGCGGUGAAAUGCGCAGAUAUCAGGAGGAACACCGGUGGCGAAGGCGGGUCUCUGGGAAGUAACUUGACGCUGAGAAGCGAAAGCGUGGGGUUAGCGAACAGGAUUUAGAUACCCC
rnacentral:rRNA from 1 species